rnacentral:rRNA from 1 species
UGGAGGGCAAGUCUGGUGCCAGCAGCCGCGGUAAUUCCAGCUCCAAUAGCGUAUAUUAAAGUUGUUGCAGUUAAAAAGCUCGUAGUUGAAUUUCGGAAUCGGUAAAGUUGGUCGUGCCGCCGGUAUGUACUGGCUUUACUGGUUCCUCCUUCUUGAAGAACUGCGAUGUCAUUAACUUGGUGUUGCAGGGAAACAGGACUGUUACUUUGAAAAAAUUAGAGUGUUUAAAGCAGGCUAACGCUUGAAUACAUUAGCAUGGAAUAAUGAAAUAGGACGUUUGAUCCUAUUUUGUUGGUUUCUAGGAUUGACGUAAUGAUUAAUAGGGAUAGUUGGGGGCAUUAGUAUUCAAUUGUCAGAGGUGAAAUUCUUGGAUUUAUUGAAGACUAACUACUGCGAAAGCAUUUGCCAAGGAUGUUUUCAUUAAUCAAGAACGAGAGUUAGGGGAUCGAAGACGAUCAGAUACCGUCGUAGUCUUAACCAUAAACUAUGCCGACUAGGGAUCGGAUGAUGUUAAUUUUUUAAUGACUCAUUCGGCGCCUUACGGGAAAC